rnacentral:rRNA from 1 species
GGUCAAGUUAAAAAGAGCACUAGGUGAAUGCCUAGGCACCAAGAGGCGACGAAGGACGUGACAAGCUGCGAAAAGCUACGGAGAGGAGCAAAUGUCCAUUGACCCGUAGAUAUCCGAAUGGGGAAACCCACCGUAAGGUAUCCUAUAGCCAAUUCAUAACUAUAGGAAGCGAACCAGGUGAACUGAAACAUCUAAGUAACCUGAGGAAAAGAAAGAAAACUCGAUUCCCUGAGUAGCGGCGAGCGAACGGGGA